GCUUCUACGUCUUGUGUAUAAUUACGUCAGCGGCCCUAUUGGCUUUCAAUUUUCAUCCAUCACAUCCGCACCACGUUCGAUUUCCGCGUGUAUUGGUGUUAACCUUGGUUUAGAAUUCAGUUAUCGCUCUUCGAAUCAGGUGAAUAAAAAUAUGAAAUACUCGGUAUAGAGCGUUGACUGUAUACGACGAGCCGCAGGGGGUUGCAAAUUUGGGACCCCUUCCGACUCGGGUAAAUACCCGAACAAUGCUGAAUGGGCGCAUGUUAUCGGGCGCUGGAGUCUCCGAGCACGUCCCCCAGCACGUUUCGGGAUCCUAAAACAAUUUACGACGAUAAUGAAAAUAAUGAUAAUAACCCAACCUAACCUAGAACCACGUUGCGAAUCCUUCGUCAAUCAAUAUCCUUGAAUAUAAUCGCGACUUCCUGCCGCGGCCGGGAAAACUCGCUCGAAAUAAUCCCUGAUCCAUUUUAUCGGAAUAUAUGAAUACCUGAAAAUUCUUAAAAUCCAUUUUUGACAUUCUAUGUAGAAUUUUACAUUCUCCACGGCGAUUCUUUCAGCUCAUAUCGUUAAAUAAUAUGCUGCGGUGCAGACUUCAAGCGCAAUAAGGGUUGCGCUUUGUGUUGCGGUAUAUUCGAGUAAACUGAAGAUUUAGGUAGUUGAGCCGGGCCGGGCGUUUUCUGGAGCCCGUUCUUCGAUCGAUGCGACCUACGGCAUAGUUUGUGCCCACACAUUGUACGUCAUGUAUACGUACGCACAUGUAUACAUGCCACAGCCCCGCGCGAUAUACGCGACUCAAAGGCCAGAGGUAGUCUUGCAAAGCGAGUACCGGUGAGUACCGAGAGGCGCAACACGAUAAGUUCAGCUAUAUACCUCGCGGCAAUUCACUACGCUAUAAAGACCAUAGUAUACGUAUUUACACACCUGCCUUCCUUUCAUGCACCCUCAAGUUUUUUGUACACCGCGUUCGUGACAACCGCCGCUUAGAUUUCUCUUGAAUAAAAGGUCCUCUCGGGUGGCUCUCAUGUCUCCUUAUUUUACCGUAUAGCAGUCGUAUUAACGUUUCGAGCUACUCUAUGUACUAUUAGGAACAUGGAAAUCUGGUCGAAAAUGUCAUUCAUACCGUGGCUGGUAACGUCGUAUGUGGAACGGUUCUUCUACUUCUAGGGGAAUGUAAAUUGAAAAAAAUAGUAAGUCAUUCGUUACAAUAUGUGGAUCACGUAAUCAGCGACGUCCAGACUAACAAACCAACGUCGAAAGCCGAGCUUAUUUUCCCGGCGGACAUUGCAGAGUUUUGAUUUCAACUGGCAAUGAGAAGAAACUACAGAAAUUGUUUCGGCAGAGCGAUCAUUCGUUUAUGUUCGACUUCGAUUCGGGACUGAUUAUUUCUAGGAUCACAAGUUCGAACGGGGCGGUCUUCUGCCGCCCGUUUGUAUCAACGGAGUAUGACGAAGAAACAUAAAGAUUGGCGGCGCUUCCGUACAGCAAAACUGUUCAUGAGUGAAAGCUGAACCAAAAAUUCCGUCAGUUCGAUCGAUUGCUGGGAUGAUGCGGCGCGUAAUAAUCGGCUUCAAAGGAUUUCGCCCUUCCAAUCGAAUAAACAAACGGGCCGAGCGAAGAAAAUGGCGUAUGUAUAGGAAACUGUGGACCUCUCCGCUUUGUAGUUUGUAUCGUACGUCACGAUAGAAGCUCCUGCACCUGCGCACUGGCAAAGCUCACUCUUCAAACGCCUCGGCAUUGAACUCGUUGCAUCGUAAAACUUCAAUUAUCAGCUGCUUCAGGUAAGGGUGGGGGAAAUCGACUACUGAGAAAAAAUUGUGAAAAAACAGCGACCACAAAAACUAUAAUUUUCAAGAAAAUGUGUUAUAGCGUUUUGCCGCUAUUCAUCAGCUUCAUCGUCUAGAAUUUGGGCGCCAAAUACUAAAACCAAUUGGUUAAAAAAGUAUUGGACUCUGAAAAAGCGGACGGAGUUUAGCAAUUUGCUGGAGUUUUCACAAAUUCUGGGAUAAGUCCUACUGAUUGGAAAUGUUGGAUGAAAUCAAUCACCUAAAAAGUCGAAUGAAAUUUAUAAUAUGAGUUGGCGAAAAUUUCCAAUUGAGAAGACCAAUUUUAGUUGGAGAUUUCAGGUGUACGUACAUCAAUCGCUAACCGUGUGCGUGACUGAUAUAUGCUCGCUGAUUGUUCAACUAUUUUCAGUUCGAGUAUCGCAGUAGCUCGAAGACCAUAAGGUUUUCAGACACGGUGAAGUUAUUUGUAAAAGAUUAUUAUAGCUGAACUGUAAUUUGAAAAUGUUUAUUUAUCGAUGUGUUGUAUGUAUAAUAUUGCUAGGAUGAGUUUAUUCUAUAAACGAUUAUGAUGUCAAUUAAAUUAUCCCUAUUAAAUACUUACAGCGAUUUUUGAACAGUAAUAUUAUAUAUAUAUAUUGAACUCUAUCGUAU